rnacentral:rRNA from 1 species
UACGGAAGGUCCGGGCGUUAUCCGAAUUUAUUGGGUUUAAAGGGAGCGUAGGCCGGAGAUUAAGCGUGUUGUGAAAUGUAGUGGCUCAACCUCUGCACUGCAGCGCGAACUGGUCUUCUUGAGUACGCACAACGUGGGCGGAAUUCGUGGUGUAGCGGUGAAAUGCUUAGAUAUCACGAAGAACUCCGAUUGCGAAGGCAGCUCACGGGAGCGCAACUGACGCUGAAGCUCGAAAGUGCGGGUAUCGAACAGG